rnacentral:rRNA from 1 species
AGAUUGAACGCUAGCGGGAUGCUUUACACAUGCAAGUCGAACGGCAGCGCGGACUUCGGUCUGGCGGCGAGUGGCGAACGGGUGAGUAAUAUAUCGGAACGUGCCCAGUAGCGGGGGAUAACUACGCGAAAGCGUGGCUAAUACCGCAUACGCCCUACGGGGGAAAGGGGGGGAUCGCAAGACCUCUCACUAUUGGAGCGGCCGAUAUCAGAUUAGCUAGUUGGUGAGGUAAAGGCUCACCAAGGCGACGAUCUGUAGCUGGUUUGAGAGGACGACCAGCCACACUGGGACUGAGACACGGCCCAGACUCCUACGGGAGGCAGCAGUGGGAAUUUGGACAAGUGGGGGAAACCUGGAUCCAGCCAUCCCGCGUGUGCGAUGGAAGGCCGUUCGGGUUAGUAAAGCUACGUUUUGGCGAGGAAGAACGGCGUUAGACUAAGUAUUCAGUCGCCACUGACGUACCGUG